AUUGAACGCUGGCGGCAGGCCUAACACAUGCAAGUCGAACGAGUGGCGGACGGGUGAGUCAUGUCUGGGAAACUGCUUGAUGGAUGGGGUUAACUACUGGAAACGGUAGUUAAUACCGCAUACCAUCGGAUGUGCCCUGGCGGGAUUAGCUAGUAGGUGGGGUAAAGGCUCACCUAGGCGACGAUCCCUAGCUGGUCUGCGAGGAUGACCAGCCACACUGUAACUGAGACACGGUCCAGACUCCUACGGGAGGCAGCAGUGGGGAAUAUUGCACAAUGGGCGCAAGCCUGAUGCAGCCAUGCCGCGUGAAUGAAGAAGGCCUUCGGGUUGUAAAGUUCUUUCAGCAGGGAGGCGUUACCCACAGAGAAAGCACCGGCUAACUCCGUGCCAGCAGCCGCGGUAAUAC
rnacentral:rRNA from 1 species